rnacentral:sRNA from 1 species
GUUGGGUGUGGAAGUGCAGGCCUGUGAUCCCAGCAACUGGGGAGGCUGAGGCAGGAGGAUUGCAAGAUCAAGGCCAGCCUCAGCAACUUGGCAAGACUCUGUCUCAA